GAUGAAGAACGUAGCGAAAUGCGAUAAGUAGUGUGAAUUGCAGAAUUCAGUGAAUCAUCGAAUCUUUGAACGCACAUUGCGCCCUAUAGUAUUCUGUAGGGCAUGCAUGUUCGAGCGUCAUUUGUACCUUCAAGCUUUGCUUGGUGUUGGGUGUUUGUCCUCUCCCUGGUGUUUGGACUCGCCUUAAAACAAUUGGCAGCCAGUGUUUUGGUAUUGAAGCGCAGCACAAUUUGCGAUUCUGGCCUUAAAAUACUAGCGUCCAUAAGUACAUUCUCACUUUUGACCUCGGAUCAUGUAGCGAUACCCGCUGAACUUAAGCAUUUCAAUAAGCGGAGGA
rnacentral:misc_RNA from 1 species